rnacentral:rRNA from 1 species
AUUGAACGCUGGCGGAAUGCUUUACACAUGCAAGUCGAACGGCAGCACGGACUUCGGUCUGGUGGCGAGUGGCGAACGGGUGAGUAAUACAUCGGAACGUGCCCAGUCGUGGGGGAUAACGUAGCGAAAGCUACGCUAAUACCGCAUACGAUCUACGGAUGAAAGCGGGGGAUCGCAAGACCUCGCGCGAUUGGAGCGGCCGAUGGCAGAUUAGGUAGUUGGUAGGGUAAAGGCCUACCAAGCCGACGAUCUGUAGCUGGUCUGAGAGGAUGGUCAGCCACGCUGGGACUGGGACACGGCCCAGACUCCUACGGGAGGCAGCAGUGGGGAAUUUUGGACAAUGGACGCAAGUCUGAUCCAGCCAUUCCGCGUGCAGGAUGAAGGCCCUCGGGUUGUAAACUGCUUUUGUACAGAACGAAAAGGCUCUGGUUAAUACCUGGGGCUCAUGACGGUACUGUAAGAAUAAGCACCGGCUAACUACGUGCCAGCAGCCGCAGUAA